GACGAACGCUGGCGGCGUGCCUAAUACAUGCAAGUCGAACGCAGUGGGGACGGGGGAGUAAAACGUGGGUAACCUCCGAUCAAAGGGGAUAACACUUGGAAACAGGUGCUAAACAGAUACUGUUGGAUGGACCCGCUGUGGUUUAGCUAGUGGGUGAGGUAACGGCUGAACAAGGCAACGAUGCAUAGCCGACCUGAGAGGGUAAUCGGCAACACUGGGACUGAGACACGGCCCAGACUCCUACGGGAGGCAGCAGUAGGGAAUCUUCGGCAAUGGACGAAAGUCUGACCGAGCAACGCCGCGUGAGUGAAGAAGGUUUUCGGAUCAUAAAGCUCUGUUGUAAGAGAAGCGGUAUCUAACCAGAAAGCCACGGCUAACUACGUGCCAGCCGCCGCGGUAAUAC
rnacentral:rRNA from 1 species